CUGCAUCUUUGGGCUUUUUGAGCUUCAGGCCUCUGGGCUCCAUUCUUUUAUUCUCAGCGUUUAUUCUCAGCACUGUGAGCAAUAACUGAUCUGCCUUCUGGGUUUGCAGCCGCUCUGAGCAGAGGCGGUCGGUGAAUCCGUUGUGUCUGAUGGGCUCUUUUGUCUCGACCAUCUCGUUUCAGGCAAGAGUAUCGCCCUUGGACUGGAGCAAAACCAUCCAAGCCCAUAAAGACAAAGCAAGGCUUCAUUAUCCCAGAUGACCAUUUUGUCCAGGAGACAAGUUACAAGGCGGACUAUAAGCAGAUCCCGGAGGUGAAGACCAGGUUCUCCCCCAACCCUUCUGCUGUUUUCCAGGCGCCGUCGCGGAUCCUCAACGUGUGACGCCGGGCCCUCCUCGCGCCGGGCAGCGCCACAGCGGUGCUUCCGACCGGACGUGUCACUAUGCAAUCUUCAGGAGGAGCGCUGGGAUCAGAGAACCGAUGUCAGCAGGAGCAGCUCCUGGGGCUGGGCGCUCUCCUUCUGCGAUUGUGCAGAUUGUGAAGCGCUCCAUUCAGAGCCAGCAAACACGCUCCGCUGUGCGCAGCGGCAGGGAGAAGUCACAAACAGGAGCGAGAACUGAUAGCAAACCCCCGGAGCAGCACGGAGCAGGGAGCACCUGCCUGACUUGUCAGCUUGCAGAGCUGCCUCCUGCACGCACCUCAGCACCAGAGCUCAGCACGGGAGGGCUGCUCUGCUCCGGACCCACAGGGUUGCUGGAGCCGCUGGCAGCUCCGCAGCGGCUGCGUUGGGGGGCUGUGUGUGCAGAGCGGUGAGCGCACGCUGCGCUUCGGAGGGUGUAGAAUACUGGUGGGUUGGAUGUAAAUAUUGCACCCGGAUUUUACCUAAAGCAGUUUGUGAUCCUUUAAGGAAGAGGACGUGCUUCUACUUUUAAUAAAUGUUAACUCUUUGCAUACGCAAGGUGGAAAGUGUUGCCUUGAAAUGCCUACGUUUCUGCCUGCCUAUCGGUGAUGUUAAUGUUAGUGGCUAGGAGCAACCAGAAGUGAAUGUUACUUAGAAACUCUUCUUAAAGAAAAACAUUAACAUGGAAUGUAUGACACCCCUCAUUGCUAAGAUAGGCCAUUUUCAGUGGCGUUACUCUAAGGCUCACUUUUUUUUAGGUGGGUGCGGAUUUAACUUUGCUGAGACGUGUGUGUUUUAAGAAACCAUCCUUUUUAGCCUCCCUUCAUCCCAACCACCGUGGUUUUACAGUUUCUAUCUCAGAGACUUAUGCAAUAUAAGAGCUCUUCACCUUCCCCCAGCUGAGGCCAAUGGCACAUUCAGUGAGCUCUGAGCAUUCUGCAAACACGCAGCCGGUGCUGCUAACCGAUACAAAGAGCACUGGAAGCAUUAGAGUGCGGAUGAUACAUGGCAUUCAUGCAGAAAGCAUCUCCUCAGUGCUUUAGGUGAGAAGCUGAUGUUCCCAGCAGCGUUGGGCUGGGGGGGUUGGUUGGCGUUGGCCCCCAGCCUUUGUUUUUGGCCCCGGGCCGUACGGUAACAGCAGUGCCGUAACUUUGCCAAAACCAUUUUUCAGGAGACUCAUUUUCCAAGGAAUGCACCCAAAGCGUUCGAACUCUGCCGAAGGUUUUGCAUGGCACGCGUUUCUAAGGAGAAACCCAUCUGCUCGAGUAAUCUCUUUGUAAUGUUUUUAGCUGUUUCGUUCCGUUUUGGUUCAUUUCAAUCCUGGAUUUUAUUAUCAGAAAAGCAGAAAAAUAAAAAAAAGGAUGCUUUGCCUAUCCCGCCUGUCUUGUGAACUCAGCCCAUUUCUGAAGACAUCAACCUGGCUGUAAGCAAACUGGGAAUACGAGCUCGUAUUUUAUCAAAGGGAAUGGAUUUGAUUUAAUAAAUUAAGACGUAUUUUGG
rnacentral:lncRNA from 1 species